GGUCUUACAACUUGAUUGAGAGUAUUUGGCUGCAGCUAUUACCCUUUUAUAAGACUUUAUCAAAAGCAUAGUUUUGCUAAUAGCUGUAUAUAUAAAGGACACUACACUGUAACAAACAUAUCUUCUCAUUAAUGGAAAAUCAGAGAAAUUCAGUUUUAACAUUUCUCUCAACUUGACAUAUGUCAUCAAAAAUGGAAAACUUUCCUUCAUUUUCCUCUUCACCAAACACUAAUUAAAUUUAAAUAAAUGCAAAGAACUCGAAUCUGAUGAGUUCUUUAGCAAAAGUAAAUCAACCUUCCUCUGAAAAAUCUCUUGAUUACAAGGAUUUUGUUCUACAAUUCUCGACUCCAGUUCAGAUCACUCUCAACCAAAUGUUGUCAAGCUUCAGAAAUCAAAUCACAAUUUCUGGAAAUCACUGGUGUUAUCUGGAUCUAGAACUCAUGGUUUGGAACCCUAUCUUACUGGAGUUAAAGCUUGUCCUGCACUAUUUGUUGAGGUAAAAUCUGAAAACUCGAAUGAGGGCCUUGAAGUCAUUGAGCUUGAUGGGCAUGUCAUGAGAUGUGUCCAUGACCAGAAUGGGAAUCAUGUGGUACAGAAGUGUAUAAAAUGUGUACCUGUGGAAAAAAUUGGAUUUAUUAUUUUUGCUUUUCGACGACAAAUUGCCACGCUUUCUACACACCCAUAUGGUUGUUGUGUUAUUCAGAGUUUUGGAGCAUUGUUCAGAAGAACAACAAGGUCAACGUAUAGUGGAUGAAAUUUUGGAAUCUGCUUAUGUUCUUGCUCAGGGCCAGAAUGGGAACUAUGUUACCCAGGUAGGUAUUGUGUGCUUUGUGCCGUUUACUUAAUUCUUUGAUUGUUCUUGGGUAGAACAACUGUCUAUUAAGUGCUUAGAAACAAGUCAAUUUCUCAUAAAAUGUUGUGUUUUUGCUUCUAUAUUCCAACGGCAAAUAGUUUAUUGUUGUAUAUGCCUCAAACUGACUUCUUUGAACUUGUUGAUUACCAAGCUUACUUGUCUUGAUUAGACUUGUAGUUCUCUUUAGCUUUUAGCACCGAGUUCAUAAACUUUGUUAAAUAGUUUAGGCAUUGUUGGCCUUCAUUCACCAAUGGUCUUAUGAUCUCACCGGUUUGUGAUAUAGUUUCCUGAACAAGUAUGUAUUUCAGUGAGAAGUAAUUUAUUACUCUUCUGCUGCCUCAUAUGAAGAAAAAC